UACGUAGGUGGCAAGCGUUGUUCGGAAUUAUUGGGCGUAAAGGGCGCGUAGGCGGUUUGUUAAGUCGGCUGUGAAAGCCUGGGGCUCAACCCCAGAGGGUCGGCCGAUACUGGCAAACUAGAGUACGGAAGAGGUAGCUGGAAUUCCUGGUGUAGCGGUGAAAUGCGCAGAUAUCAGGAGGAACACCGAUGGCGAAGGCAGGUCUCUGGGCCGAUACUGACGCUGAGGAGCGAAAGCGUGGGGAGCGAACAGG
rnacentral:rRNA from 1 species